GGUGGAAACUUGGCAAGUCGUUUACUCUCUCCAGGCUCCAAGUUCCUUGGGAGCUGGACUAUAUUUAGGAUCAAGAAUCUAGCACCGCAAAGCACACCCAGUCCAAGGAGAAGGAAAAGCUGUCGCCUACCGUCAAACUUCUUGUGCCUGGACACGAACGUG